rnacentral:rRNA from 1 species
UACGAAGGGGGCUAGCGUUGCUCGGAAUCACUGGGCGUAAAGCGCACGUAGGCGGAUCUUUAAGUCAGGGGUGAAAUCCUGGAGCUCAACUCCAGAACUGCCUUUGAUACUGGGGAUCUCGAGUCCGGGAGAGGUGAGUGGAACUGCGAGUGUAGAGGUGAAAUUCGUAGAUAUUCGCAAGAACACCAGUGGCGAAGGCGGCUCACUGGCCCGGUACUGACGCUGAGGUGCGAAAGCGUGGGGAGCAAACAGGG